rnacentral:rRNA from 1 species
GACGAACGCUGGCGGCGUGCUUAACACAUGCAAGUCGAACGGAAAGGCCCUGCUUUUGUGGGGUGCUCGAGUGGCGAACGGGUGAGUAACACGUGAGUAACCUGCCCUUGACUUUGGGAUAACUUCAGGAAACUGGGGCUAAUACCGGAUAGGAGCUCCUGCUGCAUGGUGGGGGUCGGAAAGUUUCGGCGGUUGGGGAUGGACUCGCGGCUUAUCAGCUUGUUGGUGGGGUAGUGGCUUACCAAGGCUUUGACGGGUAGCCGGCCUGGGAGGGUGACCGGCCACAUUGGGACUGAGAGACGGCCCAGACUCCUACGGGAGGCAGCAGUGGGGAAUAUUGCACAAUGGGCGGAAGCCUGAUGCAGCAACGCCGCGUGCGGGAUGACGGCCUUCGGGUUGUAAACCGCUUUCGCCUGUGACGAAGCGUGAGUGACGGUAAUGGGUAAAGAAGCACCGGCUAACUACGUG